GAAUAUUGCGCAAUGGAGGAAACUCUGACGCAGUGACGCCGCGUAUAGGAAGAAGGUCUUCGGAUUGUAAACUAUUGUCGUUAGGGAAGAAAAAGGACAGUACCUAAGGAGGAAGCUCCGGCUAACUACGUGCCAGCAGCCGCGGUAAUACGUAGGGAGCAAGCGUUAUCCGGAUUUAUUGGGUGUAAAGGGUGCGUAGGUGGUUUGACAAGUUGGUAGCGUAACUCCGGGGCUCAACCUCGGCACUACUACCAAAACUGUUGGACUUGAGUGCAGGAGGGGCAAAUGGAAUUCCUAGUGUAGCGGUGGAAUGCGUAGAUAUUAGGAGGAACACCAGUGGCGAAGGCGAUUUGCUGGACUGUAACUGACACUGAGGCACGAAAGCGUGGGGAGCAAACAG
rnacentral:rRNA from 1 species